ensembl:lncRNA
CCAAAUCCAAACCAUUUGCUCCCAGUAAGGAGUGCUUGUGUAGCUGGACAGAUCUCCUCCUCUGAAAAUGUAUCUGAAAGCCCAGUCUUCCUGAGGGGGUGCAGUUGAGGAAGACAUACGAAAUAAGCCCCUCCACUCCUUGCUGUCAGGUGCGCCUCUUUCUCGACCGCCCCACCUCUGUCUAGACAACCCUGACAGUGUAGAAGUUUCCAUCUCCUUUUCCUUUCCCUCUCCCUGUUCCCUCCCCUUCAUUUUUUUUUUUCCCUCCCAGGCGCUUCCUGCCUGGAAACAAAAGAUUGGUCCCCAGUAGCCCACUCAGGGUGAUUUUAGUUUUCUCCGCCCGCUCUGAUUGGCCUCCGUGCGGUGCAGAGCCCGGGUGACGUCAUAGCGGAGCAGGGCGAGGGAGCGGUUGCCGAGCAGGGCUCGACCGCGGGCGGGCAGCUGUGGGCAGCGGACCGUCUGGGGUUUCGCGCAGGGGGCUGCGGCUUUCCCCGGCCCGGAGCGAUUGUGUGCGGGGCCGGAGGAGAGCCGGGGGGGUGGGUGGGGAGGGGCCGGGCCCGGGGCUGCGGCCGCGGCCGCGGGGCGCGGCUCCCCAGCCCCGCCAGCCAGCCCCAGCGUCCGAGGGAGAGGGAGUCUGGACGUGGUGGCUGGACCAGUGGCAGCUUGCAGGGGGACCUUGCCCUCAGAUUGUGAACUGGCUCUGGCAAGAUUCCUGCCACAGUUUCAGACGGAUUGACCAUUUUGGAUUCUUGUUCUCUGCAGACUCAAAUCCAGGCCAACUGUAUGGCUGUCUGAGGUGUUGGAACAGAAGGAGGUCCAUUCCUGUUGGUGACAGCACUGUGGCCCUGUUCUGGGAUGACCGAGGUAUAAAGGUUUCCCCCAAGAAAAGGCAGCUGAGUCCUUGCAUCUUGUGGCAGCUGGUGUGCCCAGCACUGAGUCCAUCGGAGCUGAAGGCAGCCCGGCCCCUUCUCAUGGGCAGCACCCACCUGUGCUGAGGUCCUGCAGCGGUGGCGGUGUGAGGUGAGUAAUGGAUUCCAGGGCAGGGAGUUAGAGAUCUCCAAAUCCAGGUAAAUGCCACCUUUCCACCAGAGCUCUUGAUAUGAAAGGCCCUGCCUGGGCCUCACCAGCCAGGCCUCAGGGCACAGUCUCUCUUUUCUGGAGGAUUGUGCCCAGUAUAGCUGCCCUGGGUCUCUUGGUUCCCCAGUCUCUAAUAUGGGAAUGACAGCCUUGACCUACAUCCUGGAGUGAGUAGGAGAAAGCACCUAAAAGUCAUUGCCAAGUCCUUUGCAGAUGUCAAGCUCCAUCUAAGAGCUUCAGUGUAACACAGACAUGCUUUCCAUCAAGAUGUCAUUUCCUUUCCUCUGGCUUUCCUGAUGUUGAAGUGGCAUUUCAGCCACAUGCCACCAAUUCGCCAGUUGGUUCCUAUAAUUUCUACUGCCUCAUAACCUGAAUUUUACCUUCGUAUUCAAAGUGUACCCCCACCCCGUCCAUCCCAGCUUCUGGGCCUGGUAGCCUUAAGUUAAACCUUCUAAGCCUUUCCUCUGCCUUCCCACCCAACCAGGGAGCAUUUCCUCCC